GCAAGUCGUGCGAGAAGUAUCUUCGGAUAUGAGUAGAGCGGCGGACGGGUGAGUAACGCGUAGGAAUCUACCUAGUAGAAGGGGAUAGCCCGAGGAAACUCGGAUUAAUACCGUAUACCUCCUUAGGGAGAAAGAGGGCCUCUCUUGAAGCUCUCGCUAUUAGAUGAGCCUGCGUAAGAUUAGCUUGUUGGUGAGGUAAUGGCUCACCAAGGCUACGAUCUUUAGCUGGUCUGAGAGGACGAUCAGCCACAUUGGGACUGAGACACGGCCCAGACUCCUACGGGAGGCAGCAGUGGGGAAUAUUGGACAAUGGGCGCAAGCCUGAUCCAGCCAUACCGCGUGUGUGAAGAAGGCCCUAGGGUUGUAAAGCACUUUAAGCAGGGAGAAAAAGUUAUGAGUUAAUACCUCAUAACCUUGAUGUUACCUGCAGAAUAAGCACCGGCUAAUUCCGUGCCAGCAGCCGCGGUAAUACGGAAGGUGCAAGCGUUAAUCGGAAUUACUGGGCGUAAAGCGCGCGUAGGUGGUUUGUUAAGUUGGAUGUGAAAGCCCUGGGCUCAACCUAGGAACUGCAUCCAAAACUAACUCACUAGAGUACGAUAGAGGGAGGUAGAAUUCAUAGUGUAGCGGUGGAAUGCGUAGAUAUUAUGAAGAAUACCAGUGGCGAAGGCGGCCUCCUGGAUCUGUAC
rnacentral:rRNA from 1 species